AACCUACUCACUCCGUCCCAUAUUAAGUGACUUAAGUUUGUCCAAAUAUGGAUGUAUCUAUGUUUAAAAAACGUCUAGGUACAUGUAAUAAAAAGUCAGUUAAUAUGGGACGGAGGGAGUAGCUA
rfam:Brachypodium distachyon strain Bd21 chromosome 5, whole genome shotgun sequence.